GAACAGUGUAUGAACUUGAAAGGUGCUGCAUUGCAUCCUCUGUCACAUUGUGAGAAAGUCUGGGAGGCACAUCUCAGAUCCUGGCAUGCAAAAACAAGUGAGGUGAAGGCCAUACAAUUUUUGCAUUGCUAAUAAAAACUCAUAGCAUAAAGUCAUCCUGCUUUUGGGCUGGUCUGUGAUUGAUUUUCUGUUUUGAAAAUACCAGAUAAUCCAUAAAAAUAAUCUGUAGAAACUGCAAGCCACAACUCCUACUUGCAUUUCCUUUUCUUUUUUAAAGGAACCCAGUUUGCUGGGGGAGAGGGGGUUAAAUCCAUUCCUCCAUCAGAUCUGGUAGAAUAGCUUAGAAGCAUGUCUGUGAUCAAAGCACCAAACCUUGGCAGAGGUUUGUCAAAAGCACUAAAGGUAUAUUAACCCAAAUACAGCUUCUAAUGGGAAGCUAAGGUUUAAACCCCCCACCCAAAAAAAAAUCUGAAGAGGAAAUAGCAAUGGCUGUGCAAUGCAAAGAAGAAAGCUACAAUCAACUCUGAUAAGUAGAGUCAUGGAUUUUCCUAAAACACAUUUCUAUUUAUCUCCUAUGUUCCAUAUCCAGAAUAAACAUGUAGUAACUGACAGAACUGAUGUCUCCCUAUUUUUUGUUGUGUUUCUGCAAAUAGAACAUUAUGAUGUUCAGUACUGACCAAACCUGCUUAAUGAACAACACAUCCUCUGUGGAACAUAGGUCUGCAUGACAAGAUAGAAAGGGUGAUGGCCUACAAUUCGGGAAGGUAUUGGAGAUGGUUGGCACAGAGAACACCUUAAUCAUAAAAUGGUUGUGUUUGUCUGACUUGCAGCUAAGCCCUUAAUUGACUAAAUUAACUGAAUUUCUGCAAUACAACCACCUCACUGAUCUCUGCCUACAGUGGUUUCCAGAAGAACUAAUAUAAUAUAUCAGUACUUAGUCAUGAAAACAUCCAUUAAUGAGUGAGACUUAUUCUGUAAUGUAUUUGGUCCCCCACCACAUCUCAAAAGUUUUAACAUUUGUAUAUUACUCUAGUGGUUUGGGGUUUUUGUUUUAUAGAAAAAAGUACAGAGUAUUUCACAGUGAUCAUCUCAGCCAUAAGAAGAGCCUGCUGGAUCAGGCCAAUAGCCCAUCUAGUCCAGCAUCCUGUUCCCAUCAUGGCCAGAUGAAAUGGGAUCAGAUGCAUUAAACUCUGCAGGCUUCAAUUUGGGAGACCAAACAUUGAGAAAAAUGUAUGCCUAAGACUUUUACAGGAACAUAUUCCAGAUUCUUGGAGAUUCUUUUUUUUUCAUCUUCUAUAAAAGAGACUAUUUAUGACAAGCUUAUUAUAUUCAGAGACAGGUAGAGUAUAACUUCAUAUAAUGAGAACAUGAGGGCCUUUAGAUAUUCUAAUGUUAAGUGUUCCCAGUAAGUCAGAAAAAUUCUCUGCUCACAAAGGUGAUUUACUAUUCUCCAUUGCCCAGGGUAGAUUGCCCCUUUAAGCAGGUAAGAGCAUAAUUUAAGGCUGAGGGCAGAUAACAGGGCUUUCCCCUCCCCCUUGAGAACAGAGGGGAGCUUGAACAUAUGUUUAGGGGGGUGGAGUUUGAGUGGUUCAUGUGCAUAAUAACUGGCCAUUGUGCACAUUCACCAGGCCUCUUAGAGAAUGUGCACAUAAUCCUUUCAUGAAGAGGGAAUUGUACAAUGCGCCCUAUGUGGGGCUGCUCUUGGGUCUGGUUCAGAAGCUCCAGCUGGUGCAGAAUGCAGCAGCCAGACUGCUGAUGGGGGCAUCUGGCCAGGAACACAUGGCACCCAUUGUUAAAACAGCUGCACUGGCUGCCCAUUUACUACUGAGCCAGGUUUAAGGUCCUUGUAUUAAUUUGCAAAGCUUAGAACAACUUAGGUACCUUUGGGAUUGCCUGAAUCCUUAUAUCCCAGCUCAGUCGCUCAGAUCUUCUGCAAGAGCUUCAUUCAUUGAGUUUCAGAAGCUCAUUUGAUAACAACAACAAAUGCAGUCUUUAGUGUCUUUGGUCCGGUAUUGUGGAAUACUCAGCCGGUGCCUUCUGUUUCAACUGACUCAGUAUAAGGCAACUUCCUAUGUUUCUUACACUUGUAGAGUCCAUUCUUUUACUUAAAGCAUAUGUUUGAAAGUUGAUACAGUUCUUUGUUGACACCUUUUUGGUCAAUAAAUAUGAAGCAAACAUGAAAAGGAAUUAAAUUUGUGUAAAUAUCUUCCACAUCCCAACUCUCAAAGUGCAAUGGGUUUGUUUGUUUUAAAAAAGUUAGUGUUUGCUUUGGGCUGGUUUUGUGGCACCCUGUUACUGCUAGUGAUAGUAACGUAAGCAACCAAAUUAAAAUGGAACUGAUUGACAGAGCUGUCAGGUUACUUAUUCUGCUGAGCUAUGAGUUUGUCAUACCACUUAGAUUAAGAAGCCAUGCCUAGCUAGAAUUUGAAUGGGAAGACAUUUGGGAUCCAGCAAGGGAAUGGUGCUGAUGAUAAAUCCACUCCUUUCUGCCAUGUUGAUCAACAAUAUGCUUUCAAGAAAGCAUUUGAGUGCUCCACUAUUUUAAUUUGCUUGCUGAUCAGGUUUUCCUCUCCUGUACAAUCCUUGUUUCUUUUUUUGAAAUCAUUUCUUCUCUGUUCCUUUAACUUUGCUCUUCCUCACUUGGGCUGCAUUCACAUGGCAGUUCUGUUUUCACGACUUUCCCUUAACUUAAAUUCUGAAUUAUAUUUGUGUUUUCAUGUGACUUAAAAGCUACUUCUGGAAACAUAGUGGAAUAUAGUGCAAGUUUAGCGCUCAUUCCCAUUUUAUUUGCUUCUGGGGGAAAAAACAUAUGCAAAUAAUAUGAAAAUGACCAUUAAACUUGCAUUAUAUUCCAAUAUAGUUCCACUAUAUUCAAUUCAGUUCAUAUUGAAAGGUAAACCCACCUAAUUCAUGCUUUGUGAAGCAAUACAUGAACUGAAACUUAACCAUCUUUCAAAAAUCACACUUUCCCGAAUUUUGUAAUGCUGUUCUCUAGACACUUUAGUAUAUGAAUUUUGUAUCACCAUCAAUUCUUGCCAUUGUGAAGGGUUCCUGUGCUUGUUUUUCAUACAUCCAGCUUCUCAGCCCAUCUCUUUCCCCCCCAUUCUGUUGUAUCCUUUGCCUCUGUAGAAGUUGAUGCCUAACAGCAAGGGAAGAUUGCUUCCAUUUUUAAGUAUGCGUAAAAGAGCAUAUAUUAAUGCAAAUAACAUACAACUGCAGUAUAUUAGGGUAAAGUCCUUUGCAAAUAUGUGUAUAUAGGGAGAAAUUUGUACUAACAUGCAGAUGCAAUUUUAUGUGGACUUCUAACAUUUUUUAACAGAAUCACAAAUGAAUGUGGAAAUAUGAUGAAAUGACCUUAAAGACUGGGAAAAUUAAAAAAUGAGAGGAGCCAAAAUCCCUAGCAGCAAUAUUCUUAAGAGGGUAAAUGCAACUCCUACAAAAGCCCAUAGCAGAAAUAAAACUCCACAGUAUUAACCUUCAAAUAAUACUUGUAUUGGCAUAUAUUUGACUAAGUAAUGUGCUGAGAUCAAAAUAAAAUGCACCUUAGUAAGCAAAUGUAAACAAAGUCUCCCAUAUUUUAUCAAUUCAAUGCAGUUUUUAAAUGGUUGCAUGGGAGAUUUCCAAAUAUGUGCUUUGCGCAAAUUUGCUACUGUAUACAGUUGCUUGAGAAAGUCUUCAUGCAGGACUGACUUUAAUGGAUGCACUGUCUAGUUUUCAUAACUGUUUUUGGUAUCUGAGGGGUGCAAACCAGUGAACAAUAGAGGCCUGAGUUUGCUUUGUGUGAGACUACAAGGAUCACUCUAAAAGUUUAUUGUAUGUUACUAGCAGUACUGUACAUCAUUAGACAUGGGAUAAAUUGUUGCCAGUUUGCAACACUGCACUGGGGCUUCUUUUAAUGUACCAUGUAAACUUUAGCACAGUCUUUUGCUUCUGUAUUUAUGAUGCUUUCUUCCCAAUAAGUGUUCCAGCACAGUAAUUGCUAGUCUUUCAGACAAUCCUUAUUACAAACAAAUUAAGUUGUUUCAAGCCAUGGUGCACCUAACGUUACAUGGGUUGAUAUAAAUCACAUUUAAUGAGUUUCCUCAUUAUUCAGAGUUUGCAGCCAGUGUGAACAGGAAGCAAACAGCCAGGCAGUAAUCAAUGUUAUAAUAUAUUCCCUGUCUAUUAAUAGCAGCUCUGCUUUGGUCUCGUAAGACUGGACUUGGAGUGUACAGUGGUACCUUGGGUUACAGAUGCUUCAGGUUACAGACUCCGCUAACCCAGAAAUAGCACCUCGGGUUAAGAACUUCGCUUCAGGAUGAGAACAGAAAUUGCACGGCGGUGGGAGGCCCCAUUAGCUAAAGUGGUACCUCAGGUUAAGAACAGUUUCAGGUUAAGAACGGACCUCCAGAACGAAGUUCUUAAUCCGAGGUACCACUGUACUUCUGCAGUGGUAGGUUUAACUACCAACGCUUGGCAUGUUAUAGAUUUUGUAUCUUCAGGGGCAUUUCUUGAAUAACUUUCCCACGUGCUAUACCACCAAGAGAUUUCAACAGUAGCUUAUGAUGUAAUGUAGAUGGUGGAUACAUGGGACACAGCCUUCUUGGCUGUGGCCCACACAUUCAGAUUUGGCUCACACAUAAUGCCAAACCAUGAGUCAUCAGACUAUGGUUUAUGAAACCAUGGUCAAGUGUUAUAUGUGUCAUGGAAUGCUACUCAAUAUUGAUCCAGAGUAGAUUCCAAUGUAUAGUUAGCGGAGUAAAAAAUUAAACACGUUGCAGAAUUCCCAAAAAAAUAGACCAGAGGCAAUUGUAUUUCAUCCAGCAGAGCUUUACUGCUACUGAAGGCAAAUGAGCAUAAUGGUUACAAAUCCAGUACAUUCAGGAUUGGCACUGACCAUAAGAAAUCCAGUUGCAGCAGAAUUAAACUUACAAUAACUUAUAAGUCUAAAUCUUAACACUAAGCAUGCUAUGUACAGAACACCACACCAGAAGGAAGAGAGAUAGAAAGAGAAAGUGAAACCUUCCAGCCUUACUUUUGUAGUCAGCAUGACCUUGACAGAAAAGAUAACAGAACCAGUUUAAGCCGAGUGUAUUCAGCUUCUCUGAAGGAAUAACCCAAACAUCAUGAACCUCCUGCUUGUUUCUUUCACACAGAGAAGCUUCCAGAACCCUCUUGAAUUAAUUAGAAUAGGAAAGAUCUCUACACAUUAUAUAAAUACUUUAUGCACUAAGAAAUGCAAACUGACAAUAUGUGAACGCAGCCCUGCAGCUUAACUAUUGUUUGCUUUCUGCCAAUAAAGCAUUAUCUGAAGCCAUGGUUUGUUGUUGGCUUAAGAACUUCAGUUUGUUUUAACUACUGCUUGGUGUUACAUAUGAACCCAACACCCUAGGUUCUCACCAAGCUACAAAGGCCUGAGGCAAGAGCAGCUGGAAAAUGAAACAAGCUUUGGAGAAAUGAACCAUAGUUUGUUUGAUCAGCUGCGGGGGACAACUUGGGGUUAACCCGAAAUUGGUUAAAUGCACCAUGACCUAAACAAAGCGUGGCUUAACACUGUGUGUGAACCAGGUCUCAGACUCUUUACCUCAGAUAACUCAUCUUGCUCUGUCUCUUUCAACUGUUUAUAGGUUACAAUCAUAGAGUUGCUGAGUUGAAAAGUGUCUUGGAAAACAUCUAAUCCACCCCACCCUCCCGCUCAAUGCAGGAUUUGCAAUGCAAGGUGCAACAGCAUCUUCCUUAUGCACAGAUCUUUUUCCUGCAUCUCUUUCUGGCGCUGCCAACAGGAAUGAAAAGGAAGAUUCAAGGGAGUCCAGGCCUCUUUUAAAUGCCAGGGGAUUACUCCAGCUGCUUAGUAUGACAAUCCCCAUAUAACAGUUAGCACUCCCUUACACAGACCAAGAACGUUUUUCAAAAGAUAAAGGUUGGGCAUGAGCCAUUAAUCAUGGGACUUGCAGUUAUCUUUCACCAGUGAGAAAGAAAGGAAUUGGUUGCUCAAGGAGAAAAUAGGGAACUCUCGCUGGGAGGGGGAAAAUCUUUUUUAAAAAUCGGAAAUAAAAUAGGACACUCCAAGCUCUUUGUUUUGCUUCCAAAAAUCUUAUCAGAGCAGAUGCAGAAUAAAAUUUUGGCUGUGCUAUAAAUAAUAAAACUUAUCUUCUCAUUAUGAGGGCCACAGCAUGGUAAGGAAUCCACGCCCCAGGGUGUUACAAAAUAUAUAGUCUGGACAAGAUGUUUUCAUUCCUAGGUUUUUAUUUUUAGCUUUUUAUAUAGACGUGUUGGUUAGU
rnacentral:lncRNA from 1 species